ACAACAUGAUGGGGACACUAUCUAGCUAAAUCCUUAAGUCUUUCCCAGGUCUCAUGAAAUUGUUCACCAUCAACUUGCAAGAAGCUAGUGAUGGCACGUCUAAUGUU